UGGUUGUAUUGCCCCAUUGUCCCACAAGAGGGCAGUGUAGUGCCAGGAGCAACGAGUGUGGUUACCUUGUCUACUGGCAGAAAAAGAAUUUGAUUAGCUUUGGCCAUACACCUGUUUCGUUUUUUGCUUCAUUCAGUGUAUCUGUUCAGUGUUCGAUAACCACAGGGAUGUUGUUGUGGUGCGUGAGAGCUACUGUCCUGCGUCUUUUAGAUACAUCCUUUCUCCAACACACCUGAUGAAAAUGAAUGUGUCCUUACCAGGCCUCUCCAGAGCUGAAUAACUGGUUUGAAGUGAAGCGUGAAGGACUUGUUGCAAUCCCAGUCUUUUGUCUCCAUCUACUGGCCAGGAAUCCUCUGCAGUCUAGAAGGAACCGAAUGAAUCGAGCUCCAGUGUGUUUCUGGGCUUCCAGUCACGUGACACGAGCAUCCUCGUUCGCAGCUGAAGUGCCUCGGAUUAAAAGGAUCUCUGGCCUCCUCUCAUAAAGCAAACAUUUGGAAAUCUGCUCCAAUGAUGACUGCCAUAUGGCCUUGUCCUUUUAAAUCCUGCGGCCAGAUGAAGCAGGUGGCUUCUCCACAGUGAGCUGGGUUCUGCUGGAAGUUCCUGUCCUCUGUCACCAUAUGCUUUCUGGGUUGGGCUUGUUACAAA